GGGGAGGUUAGGUGUUGGAGGGAGGUACCACUUACCUGCCACUGUGUCAUUCAGUGCCUUGGUCUCAGCCAGCCUUGAUGGGUUAGCUCCCAGGUCCUUUGUUGAGAUGACUGUUAGCUGGGUUAGUAGAAUAGGUGAAGGGGUUUGCAUUUGUAGCCAGCUAAGAUGAGACCAAACUUGUCUCCAACCUUAGUGCACAUGAGAAUCAGUCUGCGGGCUUGUACAGUUUGUCCGUUGCUGAUUCAGUAGUUAUAGGGCGGAGAAGGUGACAUGCCCUGUUCAGGCACCACACAGAGAACUAAUAGCUGGGUUUGAUUCAAAAUUCCAUGGGCAUUAUCUGAAAGGACUUACACAACUGCUCAUCUAUAUGGAACUCAUUGUGGAAUAUUUAAAAUUGACUCAUUGGAGCAUUUAAUUUGGAAAGAAAUUGGUUGUCUAAAAGUGAAUGCAAAAUGCUUUUUUCUUGAAAUAUGACCAAUUAGGAACCAAAUUUGGCCAGAAACUAAAAAUUUGAGAAUGUGAAACCUUUUAUCAGAACAAAUUGCCAAAAUAAAUUUAAAAUUACCUGAUUUGAGGAAGCAAAUUAAUUUCGAUAAUGUCUCUAAUAAUGAAUCAACUACCCAAAUAUUGACCUCAAUUUGGAUGAAACUGAACAGUAAAGUUUCCAGAAAACAGUAGUAUUCUCAAUAGCAUGUUAAUUUCAUAGACAUGGUAAUUUUGCCAGAUGCUUCCACUUUGGGGGAGUGUUUUAUCCAGUUUGUGUUCUGUGUUGGUUACUGAACUGUGCACAACUUUAUUAUUUUGCAUAUGGUUGUUGUAUUGUAAGCAUCCACUCCUAAAUCAUUUAAAAUGGCCAUAACUGGCAAUACCAAUGAGUUAAUGGGUGAUGCUAUUUUCUAGUGGCAAAUUUCAAUAUGUAUUUAAUAGCUUGGUUGUAAAUAUCCUGGUGGCAAUAUUUGGUAUUGAAAUUGGACUUUUGUAAAUAUGCUUCUAAAUGGGAAUAGUGUUACAAUGGACUGUUCACUGUUAGUGGCAAGCUUUGACAUUUUGCCACUUUAGUCGGGGUUUCUCCGUAUUGGGAGGUGCUGAGGAGUGUGGAGGUAGAGAGACUUUGCAGCGACUGAAGAAGGAACCCAGACUAGAAACAAAGAGACCUCUUCUGUGGCUUGGACCGAAUUCAAAUGAGCAAUCAUGUUGUUUUAGAAAAUUGUGAUUUAUGAAGGGACUCCGAUGGAAGCAGGGGAGACCUCUCUUCUGUGGUUGGACUCAAUAAAAUGAGCAAUCAUGGAGGAUUUUUUUAAAAAUUGUGACAUGAUGAAGGACCUCAACCUUGAAACAAGGAGACCUCUCUUCUAUGGUUUGGACUCAGUAAAAUGAGCAAUCAUGGAAGACUUAAUUGUGACUUGUAAAAGGAUGUAAAUUUGAAACAAGGAGACCUCUCUUCUGUGAUUUGGACUCAGUAAAAUGAGCAAUCAUGGAAGACUUAAAAAUGUGACCUAUAAAGGGAAGGGACCUAAAUUUCAAACAAGAAGACCUCUUUUCUGUGGUUUGGACUCAAAAAAAUGAGCAAUCAUGGAAGACUUAAAGUUGUGACUUAUAAAAGGACCUGAAUUUGAAACAAGGAGACCUCUUUUCUGUGGCUUGGACUGAAGAUAGGGAGAAAUCCCACAGGAUUUUUAAAAAACUGAUGGUUUCUAUGAGAAUAAGUUACUGCAAUGAUACGGAUUUUCUUAUUUUUGUAGGAUGGCAGAAAAGUGUCCUAUUUUUCUAAUUAUCUUUUGCUUAAUGUGUAACUCUCUGGUGAGCAUGACUGAAUGGACUGGGUGUUUUCUCAACCUCGUCAGUUAAGAUCUUAGGUGAGGCCAAAGGAAUAUUUGAAAUUUCCCAUCCCUCCAAAAUACGAACCACAAUGAGGAAACUAAAACAUUUAAACACAACUCACUGAGUAAUAUUUUUGUCUUAGAUUGCAGUACGGUAAAAUUUGUUAAAAUGUUUACAAGAAAGCAUAGGCUGACUUUUCUGAUAUUGUUUUAUGGAGAGAAAAAUAUUGAUUCAUUGGCCUUAAAGUCAUUGCUGUUCUCUCUUGAAGACCUAUUGUAAUUAAUUGGCAGUUAGUAUGGAUUUGAAGGAUAGAUCGUAUGUCAUAUUGGGUAUGUUGUCAGUUAUUGGGUAAAAUCUAUUCAUAAAGGAACAAAAGUACAAGAAAUGAGACAAAAUUCAGCUUCCAGUUUAAUUAUCAAUUCUUAAAGGUUUAAGUCGACACAAUGGCAGUUGAUUGUGCUUCUUUCUGCUGGGUGCAGAGAAUUGGAUGACACCAUCUUAAAUUCAACUUGCCUAUCCAUCCUUAGAGGAAUACUUCCCAUUUCAAUUUGGCUUCUGUGGAAAGGAAAAGGGUCAUUUUUAAAGUCAUCCAUCUGUUUCAGUCUAGCUCACUAGAGAAUGAAACUUACCUGUUUAAAAAAAAAAAAACAAGCAGGUGACCGAAUCUCUUGUGCAACCUCUUAGAGAUCAAGAGUUCAUUGUUAUUGAGAGUAUACAACUGUUUACUUAGUGGUAACCACGGACGUAGCCACAUAAAACUAUGUAAAUACACCUGUCAUUGUUUAGCUUUUCUAAUGUACAUAAACAUCUUCUACAACUUGCUGUUAAAGAAAACACUUGGAACAGUUUUUAAAGUGACAAGACCAUGUCUGGAUCGCUCCAAGAAGAUACUGGCAAGUGACCAAGUGAAAUAACUCCAUGCCAUCAUAAACAUCACUUCAAAACCAUUGCAUGAUACCUUUGACCGGAUUUUAUAGAAAUGGAAAAAGCUGCUGCCAACGAGGGGGUGACCAAGGGGCAGGCAUUGGACACCGCUGGAGCCUGAGAACGAUGGACAAGGGUUUCUUGCCAAAAGUAAGAACCUGCGUAGCCGGGGGAUUGCUGUUUAGGCUCCAGUAGAUGGCUGCUCAGCACCCACCUUUCCACUUGGCAGUUCGACCUCUUGUAACUUUUUUUAAACUUCCAGCCGUCGCCUUACUUCUGUCUUCAGAUUCUCCCUUUCGUCUGUCUGCCAGAGAAGCUCUGACAGGUGACGAACCACAUCAUGUUCCAACAGUGUUAUGAUAAGCAAUAAUCAGAAGAGGGGAAAGAUUCCACAGACUGAUACUUUCAGCAUCUUUUGCCACUCUCAAAACUGGUAAUCUUCCACUUAUCAUCUCUGAAGAUUUGGAUUCUCUCAAAAUCUGGGAUGUUCAUUCACGCAAACCCUCUGGUCCCCUAACAACAACCUCCAGAAGUUUGUACAGUAAGAAACAACGUUACUGACAGCCAAGAUGAUGUACAAUGGAUGAGCCCGAGAUCCCAGCCUGAGGAACUGCCCUGCCUGAACUAGGGACCUCUGUGGGCAUCUAAACCUCAUGCAAACUGAAGGGGUCUUUGGCCAGAUCAAGAGCCAUUAUCCCAACCUAAUAAGAAUCGAUGCCUGGGCCAAAAGCAUAGGAACAGCAUCUCUCAUUCCGUAUUCCUCCCCAAAAAUGAGUGUGAAGGGCAACAUCACGUAGACACAGUCAACCCCGCAGGAAUCUGGAGAGGAAGGACACACAGCACAUUUUAAUUGAUCUAGAAGCUUUACCAGCCACAAGGACAAGAAACACAGAUUUAUACUCUUUGGACCAUCGGUCUUACAUUUCAUUGGAAAUCAUUGGAGAAAAACAAAUUUUUGUGGUGGGGAGUCUCGACUCACCUUCAGAAGGUCUACCAUUGAAAGCUGUGUAUCUGAGACAUUUGUAUAGAUGCCUGAUGCACAGGUCUCCAGUUUUUCUCCAAUUAGCAUUUUAAAAACAACUCAGAAUCUAACCCUGCUAAGUACUUUAUUGCCCACAUAAAGCUGAACAAUUGAUGGACAUUGGUAUGGACAAUGAUGUUAACAUGUAAAUAUUAAAUACUCAGUGACUAAAGAAUGUUAUGAACUGUUCUUGAUGUGAGGAGACAAAGAGAAUGAAAUUCAACAUAUAAUGGUUUCAUUUUCUUGUAUUUUAUUCUUUGUUUACGUAAACUUCCUUGGAAUAUAAACUCAAGCACAGAGGCCUCCAUUUGUAAACAAAUCUGUUAUUUUUGGAUAUUUUUGUAACGGUUGCUGUGAUAUUCAAGCUGGUUUCCUAGGGAAGUUUCUAAUCACACAUUUGGUAAUAUUGUCUUCUGGAUAAUACUUUAGAGUUUUUUAAAGCUAUACACAAUUCUGGACUCAUUUGUGUGCUCAGGGAUAGCAGAAAAGGAAAUGGCAAGGCAUUAGAUAUCCAUGUGUAUAAAAAAGCCAAAUAUAAUUGCUUAGCGCCAUUUCCUGAUGUAUUGUAAUUAUUAACAAGGAGUUUGGUUACGUGUAUAGAAGUAUUUUAAUACAUGAUGAAAAUAGAACUGUCAGAAUACCUCUGAAAGAUGUACAUAUAUAUAACCAUUAGAAUGGACGAUCGCUGUGGGACGGGGCGAGGUGGAUUGUACACAGCUAUCACAGACAUGAAAGGCUGCUCUGUGGGUGUAGAUGUUCAUGUGAAUGGUCUUUAUUUUGAAAUGUAUAUGUUGCUCUAUGCUUAUUACCAAGUGCUAUUGCUGUUUAUAUAUAUUUGAACUGUUGCGCCAUGAUUCAAAGCCAUCUUACGGAGAUGGCUUACCUCCAUGCUCACACGUCUACCUUUAGUUUGUAAAUUUUUUUUUCAUUAUUAAGUGGCCUCAUGAUUUAUUUAUUUCUGAUAACAUUUUGUUAUAAACAAUGUUACUAAUGCCUAACAUGCAAUUUUUAACAUGUAUAUACAUCAUUGUAAAUUUGUUAUAAAUAUGAUCAACUUACUUGGAUAGAAGCAUUUUUGUUUACCAAAGAGAUGUUAGAUGUAGCCUCUCUGUGUUCCUUGCAUCAUUAGGCUCCAUGAUUAUGUUGUCCUCAGUGUAGAACGUAGUAUAAUGCACUCUGUUCUAUGGCGUCAUGCUGGAAAUGUCAUUGCAACUGUAGGUCUGCUCUUACUGGUGGUUUUCAGACAUAUUUGUAUACAAAUAGGACAGGUUUUUUGCAUAACUUGGAGAAAUCUCUACAUGUGGUAUAAAAUAGGUUAGAAAAGGUCAUUUGCCAGUGGAAAUUGACAUAAUGAUAAUAGUGAAUUGUUUUUAGUACAUAUUCCUAGUUGUAUAGGUGAUUUAUGUUUGAUGUGGGACGUUAGCAAUGGAAUAUAUUAAACCCAAGUUCAUUAUAUGUGGGCUGACAAAAGAAUGUUUUUGUAUUAUAUGUAUAUAAUAUACAGUUAUUACAUGUUUUUUAAAGCAAUAGGAACUUUUAUAUUUGCAUGUCUUAUUUUUAGAUUAUUGUAUAUAUCUUUUUUCUUUAAACUUUUAGUCCUUUAAAUAUGAUUGUUUACAUAUUCAUAUGUGUAUAUAAACAUACACAUAUAUGCAUGUACAUAUGUGUAUAUUAGUGUACAGGAUUUUUUUUAAAGUCAUAGGACAAACAAUGGAAGAUACUGUGACGCUGCUAGCUAUAUGGUGGACAAAUGUUUUGUUUUAUAACAUAUGCAUUGAUAGACAAAGGUGACUUCUGUUUUGGCAAUUAAAUUGCUAUACUAUGUCUAGUCGACAUGUAUUGUUUGGGGGGGGUUAUUGCCUUUGUGUUGUAUUUUUUUUCAGUAGAUAUUCUUUGUUAAAGUGUAGAAAUCAUUGUCAUUAAUAUGUUAAAUGUGUAAAUUUUUUCUUUCAAUUUAGUAUUUGAAUGUUAAGUUCUGGAGCCGAGCAGGGAGGUAUCUGACUGCUGUAUGUAUAAUAGACAAGCUUCUUAUCACAUCUUCACUUCCUAGGUGUAUAGAAGAAAUACCUUCUCUACAUGCGCACAUACGCGCGUGCACACACACGCACACACACAGAGUACAUAUGUUAAUGUUGAACUAUGGUAAAAAAAUGUUUUGUUACCAAUAGAAGUGUUACUUCACCCCCUAGUGUUUGAUAUCACUUGGGGUGAAUGGGGGGUUGACUAAUCUGACCAGAUCUUUGUUUUUCUACCGUAUACUCCUGUACAUGUGCAGAGAUUUCUGUCAUUUUAAAAUCUAUUUCACCUGGAAUUAUAGCACAUAUGCUUCACAUGCUUUUUUUUUUUUUUUUUGCUUGCUUGAAAUGGUUCACCAGUCCUGCCUAUUGUAAUCUUCAAACUGUGUGUAUUUAUCUUUAAAACGCCUGUUCAUUGCUGAUAUACUUUCUAAUAGCAAACUUUUUGUAUAAUUAGAUUUUUUUCUCUGAAUAUUGAACAAGGUUAGUGGAUGUUUUCUGACCUCAUCUAAUAUUUCUUCAUAUCUAUUUUUGGUUUAUGUCUAUGACACGUAAUCUGUCUAUUGCAUUGCAUGUGGACCACCCAAAGUCAAAUCCUCUUCCAUCACCUCACCAUAUAUUUGGCCCCCAUUUUCCUUGACUACCUCUCCACCCACUUCCCAACAACAUGGAUGGACCUUGAGAAUAGUAUGCUAAGUGAAAAGUAUUUUUACCUCACAUUUUUAUUUAGGCGUACAAGUAGAUAGUAACCAUGAAAUUGUCAUUUUAUAGAAAAAUACCUCAAUUUAAGGGCCAUGUUGUUAUAUAUUAUUUUCCCAGAUGUGCUGAGGUUCAUGAUGGAAUUCUUUUUUCUGAAGAACAUUUACAGAAUCUCUAAAAUAUAUAAUCCUGUAAAUAUUUUAUUGUAUAUUUGUUCCUACCAUUGUCUUUCAAUAAUAACACGGCAAUAAAAUUAAAUGUACAACAUACAAUUAAUUUACCCCAAUAUGGAAGAAUAGUCUGGCCAUCCUACCGAGUAUGAAUUUAAAACAAGAUACAGUGUGAAUUUGGUGUUUUUUGGGUGUGCCAAGUUUCCCAGUAGGUUUCUAUUAUUUUUUUAUUAAGAUACUUUGAAAAGCGGUUUUAAAUUUCAUAGCAAAUUUAGGGGAAGGUACAAAGAUUUCCCAUAUACCUCAGUCCCCACUCACAUGCAAUAAUCAGCCCAACACGUAGGGUAAUCAUGCCUUUUACAUCCAUAAGGUGACAUUUUGACAUUGACAUAUAUCCAUUAUGAUAUUUGGGUUAUUUUCAUUACCCUAAAUCCUCUGUACUCUGCCUAUUCAUCCUUCCUUCUGUAUUUUUUCUCUUAAACAUUGAAGGAAUUAGUUGCUUCGUUAAACGGAUUUUAUACUACCUCUUGGAACUCUACAUAGCUGUGUAUGUGUUCCCUUGGUCGCAUGACAGUAUUCAAGACAACUUUGUAAAUAACAGGCAGAUACACUUUUUAAUUUCCAACAUCUAGUCUUUCCAGAUGUAUAUAUUCUCUCAAAGUAUGCUCUUGUAAAUAAUUCAUUGUACAAUUUCAUGCUUUUAUAUUCUUGGAAUGUGUGGUGGUUUCUUGAGCUGUAUAUAUCCUUGCUCUGUUUGUGCAUUUGCUAGGGGGCGGGUAAGAGGGAGUGGCCCUACACUUGUUGAAAUAAGGCAUUGUUUAGUGUUGUAUUUUACAUCAAAGACCUCAGUCCUCACUUUGUGGUUGUGUAGCUGAUAGGGCAUUAUGUAUUUUAAUCAUGGGAAAUGUAUUUUAAAAGAAUUACACAGCCACAGUCAGGACAAUUUUGUAAAUAGGCAUAUAUAUAUAUAUAUACAUACAUAUUUUAAACAUCUAGUUUUUCUAGAUGCACAGGGAGAUUCGCAAAAUUUUGUAAAUAUUUCAUUGCAUACUAGCGUAAGUUGGCUUCUGGUAUGUUUGGCAAUGUACUAGGUGGUGGUUAGUGAUCAUUUGAUUCCCAAGCUGUGCGAACAUUCUGGUGUGCAAUGAGUUCCUGGAAGUGGGAUCCCGAGAUUGCCUUCAUGUCCUCAUCUCGUUAGGCUCUCGUGUAGAAGGAAAGGCUACACCGGAUAUGGACAACAGCAGUGGCACACCAGACAUGUGUUGUGAAGCUUUAGGGAGAAAGGUGUGUGACGAGACCUGUCACUUUGUCACAUUCAGAUGUUCUCAGUGAUGGAAUCAGACAUGGCGGCAACGCACAUUGCUAAAGGAAUUGCUAUGUUGCUAGGCUAGAUAAAUGUGAACAUACGCACAUAUGAAACAUUAGUUUUAGGGGUAUAUAUCUGGUAAUGCUUUUUUUCUCAUUAGCUUAUUGAUUUUCAUUUUGCUAUGAAAGUUAUCGAUACCGUAUUCUUACACUUCUAAAAGCCAGCCUCAUGUUACAUGUAAAUGUGUUAAUUUUGUAUAAGAUAAUUAAGCAACUCCAUAUCUAUUAAUGUUUUCAUUUAUAUGCCAUCUGUAUGAGAGAAUUUCACUAGUUAUGAAUAUUUUAAUUCUCUGAGACCUCUAAAAUUUUUCUGGUGAAUUGCUAUAUUUGAAUGUCAUGAUUUAAUGUCAAGUGUAUUGUAUCUCAGUUGCCUAUAAUGUACAUUAUGAAAGUUUCUUAGAAAGAUGGUCCAAUCAGUGUUGAUUAAAGUAUAAAUCAUCUCUUUGAAUAGCAGCUUGGCAAUGACAAUCAAAAGAGAAUGCGUAAAACUGACUGCUGUGAUUUUAUCUAUUCCAAUUCAAAUUUACAAAGUUUGAAAGUACAUUAUAAAUUGAAAGAAACUUUGAACAACUGAAAUACACGUUAAAGAUAAUGAUUAUAGUUUACUUAAAUGGAUAUAAUUUAAACUGAUAAAACUUUCUUAUGUGGAUGUGUGUUUUAAAUUGAUACUUAAAAUUGUCAUUUUUGAACAAAGAUCAACAAAUGUCUAUUGACAAGGAGGUGUGUCCAUGGGCCUCUACGUCAUCUACCAGAAAAGCUAAGGGCAAUGAUUCAACAUCAGUGUUACUAUCAUGGUGAUGGUUUCAACCCUCUUUGGAAUUUUUGUGCAUGUGCUAGUUAAAUAGUAAGCAUCGCUCAUCCAUGUAUUUGUAUGUUGCUACAUGACAAUCUAAAGUGACUGAGUAUGGAAGAGAAAGUUGUCUGGCCGACUAUGGCAAAAUCUCAAUGUACAGACAGAUGUGAAUGGAAGGACUGCUUCUACUUUGUGCAUUCAGAAUUUUAAAAGUAUUUCAAAAGGAACACUUAACAACAGGAAUGUUAAAGGCACCGCUCACUUGUGCCUGUCGUCCAUCUUGCCUGUCAACACCUUGGGCAUGUGGCCGUGGUGGCCGGCCUUGUAUUGCCAUUGGACCUGAUUAAUGCUGUUAAGAGAUCAAGACGGCAUGUGACUCGGAUACGAAUGCAGCACAGAGCUGUACCGUGUGAGGAAGAGGAAGAAGGAGAAUCGGUGACCCAAGGAGAGAAGAAGGGAGAUUGCAGGAGUGAAAAAGGAAAAGAAACAAUUUGCGAUAAUGUGAGGACAACUAACAUCGGGAACAUUCGUCUUUCGGUGGAGCUCCUUGUUCCUUGAGGCUCAGCUGAACCACAGGAGAAGAUGCAUCGUUCUCGGGAAGGGCUCCACCACCCCGUCCUCACGCCGUGCCCCACCUCCAUCCCUGGCCCAGGAGCGUCCUGGAGACAUGCAUGGGAUGCCGGGACAGAACAGACGCGUGCCAGUGCUUCUGCCAACACCUGAACACCGCCGUCUUCAGAGCGGCUCAGAGGUGCCCCCUGGGCGUGGCCGUGGACACCGCCUGCCAGCGCGACGGAGUGAGAACGCUCCUGUCCAAGGUGACCUCGCGGGUGAUGGCGAGAACUAAUAUUCCCUGUCUAUACUCGCACUUUUUCUGUCACUUGAUGCUUAAAAUUAUUUUGCAAGUUGGGAAAACAUGCAGUUUUAUUUCAUUUGCACCAAACUAAUUAGAUUAACUAGGAGACAAUAAUCUUUUAAGUGAGACUUCCUAUACAACUACAGUUAUAACAGGUGUUCCCAGUGUAAGACGUGAGACAUCUUAGAUGCUGACAUUCCUAGAUCAAUCCAAAUUGUAGUUCUUGUUGAUCAGUUCUGUGGAUUUGAUCUUCGGAAAUGCUGCAUCUUCCAUAAGCGAGGACCAAAGAGAUUUUUGACUGCAGGUGGUGGACAUGUGGACAACAGGACCCAAGGCACCUUCCGAAGUGACCCCACCCUCAGCAUCACCCAGAUGCUGUCUCGUUCCCCCCUCUGAGAAGCUCGCUGCGUCUCUGUUUCCCAAAAGGCAUGGCUUUCCGAGAACUGACCUGCUGGCCGGCAAGUAAUUGCCUGGACUGUGGCGCCACAGUGC